GUACAAAGUAACCUCGCCUAAUAUCCACUUCAAGUAAAAGACCCCCCACACGCCAGAUUGUGUUCCCCACUGCCUUAGGAUAGCUAAAGACUCGUUGGAAAAGCCCUAAACACCCAACCACAACGCCAAAGAAAUUCCUCCAAAUCUACCAAUGACUAAGAUUGAAACGAAACUAACUGGUCUCCCUGCCUUCUGCCUGCCUAACAUGUGUUUCGGCGCUGUGAAACGCGCCUUCUUCUGAGGCUGAU